rnacentral:rRNA from 1 species
CAGCCGCCGCGGUAAUACGUAGGUGGCAAGCGUUGUCCGGAUUUAUUGGGCGUAAAGCGAGCGCAGGCGGUUUCUUAAGUCUGAUGUGAAAGCCCCCGGCUCAACCGGGGAGGGUCAUUGGAAACUGGGAGACUUGAGUGCAGAAGAGGAGAGUGGAAUUCCAUGUGUAGCGGUGAAAUGCGUAGAUAUAUGGAGGAACACCAGUGGCGAAGGCGGCUCUCUGGUCUGUAACUGACGCUGAGGCUCGAAAGCGUGGGGAGCAAACAGGAUUAGAUACCCCAGUAGUCCCUGUCUCUUAUAC